rnacentral:rRNA from 1 species
UAGGGAAUCUUCCGCAAUGGGCGAAAGCCUGACGGAGCAACGCCGCGUGAGUGAUGAAGGUCUUCGGAUCGUAAAACUCUGUUAUUAGGGAAGAACAAAUGUGUAAGUAACUAUGCACGUCUUGACGGUACCUAAUCAGAAAGCCACGGCUAACUACGUGCCAGCAGCCGCGGUAAUACGUAGGUGGCAAGCGUUAUCCGGAAUUAUUGGGCGUAAAGCGCGCGUAGGCGGUUUUUUAAGUCUGAUGUGAAAGCCCACGGCUCAACCGUGGGGGGUCAUUGGAAACUGGAAAACUUGAGUGCAGAAGAGGAAAGUGGAAUUCCAUGUGUAGCGGUGAAAUGCGCAGAGAUAUGGAGGAACACCAGUGGCGAAGGCGACUUUCUGGUCUGUAACUGACGCAAAUGUGCGAAAGCGUGGGGAUCAAACAGG